AUCUAAUUACAUAUACAGAGUUUACUCACAAUUUGGUCCCAAAGAACCAAAGAAAUCGAAUCCGGAGUGCCAAAUUAAAGGUUGAAAUUCCGCGGUUGUUGUCGGGGUUUUAUGGCGACAACACUAAACAAAGAAAGCAACGAUCAUGAUAGAAGGCGACGAAAGCAGCAAGGUAGUGUUGGACAUUAAUGGCUCCACCAGCGGUCUGCAGUUUGGCGGCGAGCUCCAGUUCCGGGAAACCAGAGCGUGACAGUGACGGAGCAAAGCAGGAGCAGCUCCGACGAGCCUCCUCCCUUCAACCCAACGGCAACACAGCUCUAGUUGGCACCAGUGGCAGCCUCCUUCCACGGCAAUGGCAGCAGAGGCGUCAACAGUGGUGGCCGUUGCUUCCUCCUCCUCGAGCUCCGGUGAGACUAGACAUCGAGCUCACCCCCUCUCUCCCUUCGUAGCUUUCUCUCUCUCUCUCUAUGCUGACGGCAACGGCAACACUCAACCCGCCGGUGUCAUCCCCACUUCAUCCUCUCUUUUUUUUUCUUUUUUCUUUCUUUCUCCUCCUCUGUUCUCCGUCUCAUUCUCUUCUCUUUUCGUUUCUUUUCCGAGUGUGUGGCGGGAGAGAGAGGGGUUUGUGCGCGUGUGGAUAGGGUUCAGAGAAGGGAGAAAAAUAUCAUGGACGCUUCCUUGCAAGCUGGAGCUGCUGGACCAAGACAGCCAUGAGCCAUGUCCAAGAACACUUGGUGAAGCUUAUUGAGACUCCUCUCUAUAUUAAUCACUGUCUUAUGCCUCUCUUCAAUCUCUUUGAUUGUGUCCAUGAUUGUUGUUCUCCCUUCUUUCUCAAAUUCUUUCUGCAACAAAGUUUAACCUUCCCAGUACAUUUAAGUUAUCAAAUUGUUUCUAUUCCAAUAUCAUAAUAACCAAAUAGUGAAACAAUUUUCAUUCGAGCUUCCUAAUAAUGAUUACAUGGACCAACUUGCUUCUUCCACUAAUAGGCAACAACAAUUCUUGGAUAAAGGACCUACAACACAAUUUACCAUCUUUCCAGAUUGCAAAAUUUCAGGUGAAGCACAGAAGCCUGAAGCAACAUUAUCUUUGCAGCCAUCAAUUGCUGACCCUCGGAACCCUUUUGAGCUUGGAUUCACUCAGCCUAUGAUAUAAAACUACAAAAUUCUCAAAAAAUAAAAGAAAUUCAUUCUUGUGGCUUAUGAUGCUGCCACUAAACAAGACAUCAGAUGAUGGACCAACUUACGUGACCAUGGAAUCAUAAGGCGUAGGCAGUCACGUGCUAAAGCUGUUCUUGCCAGUAAACUCCUAAAACGUUGCAAGCCAUAUAUGCAUGAAUCCGCCAUCUCCACGCGAUGCGACGGCUAAGAGGAUGUGGUGGCCGGUUCUUGAACACAGGAAACUCUGCCACCAACAAUGGAAACGGCAAGAGUGGAAGUGAAGCAAACAAAAAAGGACUUGGCCAUCAACUACAUUCUAGUGGUUCUUAGAAUUCUGAAGUCCUACAAUCCUCGGCCGGAACCUUGAAUUCGUUUAAGGAAAUAAAUGGAAGCAGUCCAAACAUUUCAUCAGAGGUGACAAGCAUGUACUCAUCAAGAGGAGGAACUGAUGGAUUUGCCAUCAAUCAUAUUGAAACUCCUAUGCACUCCUUUGCAGAUAUGAUGGACAUGGCAUGAUCAUGUCCCCGAAAUGGGUUUCGGCUGCGGCAGGAAACUGUUGCAACCUUAAUGUUUGAUCUGGCAAGGAUAUUAAGCGAGUUUUGGUGUAGCAUUGCACCAAAAUCCUCGUAUCCUUGUCAGGCCAGAUGGAAAAUGCUAUUUUCCUUUCUGGUGUUCAGGCAACUCAUCCUUGGCUCAAUUAUAUUCUCUAUCAAUUUUAAAAGUAUUUGUUACUUUAAAAAUUUUGCAUAUUAACAAUUCAGUGUAUCUGAAUACAAUUUGCAACAAGAUACAAUGAGUUAUUAAUAUAUCAAACUUCUAAAGUUACAGAUUUUUUGAAGUAGAUGGAGUAUAUAGUUAUAAUAUUAAAAUAUAAAUAGUAAUGUAAUUGUCUUUUUGCAGAGGCUUGAUAUUCUGAAGCAGAAAGACUAAUGAAUUAUGAUGUGUGUGUAUUGUGUUCAAAUAACGGCAUGAAUUUGUAGCGUUUUUAUGUGUGCGCUUUUCAUAAUCAUGUCUAGUUUUGGUGUUCUAUUUAUGAAUUUUUGACUUUGUCAAGUAAUG